rnacentral:misc_RNA from 1 species
UUCUGAUAUCAAGAAUGGAAAAUGUUGUGAAUGGUUAUUUGACGAUUGUUCAAGAAAUUGAUAAUGGUUUAGCGAAAGCGUCCAAGCAAUUUACAGCAACGAUGAUUGGAUCGGAGAAGAUUCGACGGAACACGCAGAAGCACUCUGCAAGGGCAGCUGCGAUGCUUUUGCAAAAGCAAAGACAACUGAAACAGAAACAAAGCAAUGGUAGAUCUGUGAAGAUAAUGCCACCGUUGUCCGUAGAAAAUUGGUGGGAAAUAUUUGUUCAAGAACGUUACCCAGAUGAGAGGUGCAUCGAGUGUUUCAAGUGUUCACGUAAAACUUAUAUAUAUCUUACUAAGAUUCUGCGUCCACAUAUAAGGCCAAAGGUUGGAGUGAUUCCACAAUUGGCUGCACUCAACAUGUUGAAAGGGGUUAGCGUGGAGAAGCAAGUUGCCGUUAUGCUUUUUAAGAUGGCAAGGAACUCCGAUUAUGCAGUGGUUUCGGGCAUGUUUGGUAUCCACAAAUCGACGGUGCAUAAGGUUUUCCACAAAGCUAUUAAAGGCAUAAACACCCACGUUUUAAGGAAAAUCAUUAAUAUGCCGAAAGAAGAAGAGCUACAAAAAAUAACGCAAGAGUUUGAGCAGAGACAUAGAAUUCCUCAAAUUAUCGGGACUAUCGAUUCGAUCCAUAUACCUAUUUGUCCACCUGCAGCAAUGGUAGAUAAAUUUACCAAUUCCAAGCAGUAUUCGUCAUUUGUUCUACAAGCAGUAGUAGAUUCAACGUCCUGUUUUCGAGAUAUUAGCAUAAGGCAUCCUGGCAGUAUUGACGACUCUCUCGUUUUAGAAGAUUCAAAUAUCUUCAAAUUUGCGGAUCGUGUAAUACCACCGACAACCAGAAACGUGAACGGUGUGGAUGUUCCAUAUAAGAUCAUAGGAUCUAUAAAUUACCCUCUACUAUGGUGGCUUUUAACGGGGUACGACAUACCGACGACUCAAAGUGAACUGCUGUUCAAUGAGUACAUGCAGAAGAUAAAUGACUACGUGCAAGUGGCUUUCGAUCGGUUAAGAGCUAGAUUUAUAAUUCUCAGUCAGUCAAUUGACGUUAGUUUUAAAUUAGCGCCACAAAUUAUAGCUGCGUGCUGUGCAGUUCAUAACAUCUGUGAAAGGCACGAAGACCUUUUUAUAGAGGACUGGUUAAACGAGGCCAAAUUAUUUGCUGAAAAAUUCCCUCAGCCAGACAGAGAAAAAGAGAUAAAAGACUUCGAAUCUCCUAUCAUGGCACACCGUGACGCGUUAAAAGACUAUUUUGAAACGCAACUCCUUCUAGAGAAUGCAUCGUAUGGGUACGUCGAUAACGAGAACAUUGACUUAUUAACCGAGCAAAUCGAGUAACUUACUCCGUAUGGUGAAAUAUGAAAUAUUUCAAGCUGUGCAAAGCGGUGCAGUCUCGUUUAUUAUUUUAACUUAUAAAAAUCCUAAUUUACUGUUACCUAAAUUUUAAUUCUCUACUCUUAACCUCGUACAUAGCUAAGAGACCUAGAAUUACAAUCGACAUAACCGAGAUCCAGAAAACGUGUUAGCGGUUUUUAAUUCCUUCGGCUCACGUCGAAACAAUGUAAAUACUUAAAAGUAAUUUAUACAAGGGCAUCAUCCAUCUUCAUUAACUCUGCAAUAAAAGAAACGCAUCCAAGUGACACCCUGCAAGGAUUUUGUGCACCAUGAUGUACGAACCACAGUGUUGCAAGUGACCGUUGGUGUAAAGUGUCAUAAAAAAUAUAAAGUGAGCCUCGGGUGGUGCUUUAAUGGGCUUCGGUGGCCGUUGCCGCGAAAAUCCCGAGAGUGUAUCUGUACCUGCCUCGUUAACGUCACUAUCUCGCAG